ensembl:lncRNA
CCCCGGAUCCUACCCUCUAGGACUAUUGUCCGGGUAAAUGAGAUAAUGAACAAGUACUUUGAAAAGGAUGUCGUUGUUUAAUCAAGCAGUUUCUGUGACCUCACCAAGAUAGGUCAAAGAGAGGUCCAUGCCUGCUUCCACCCACUAGGCGUUCACGCCACGACUCACCCCGCUUACUCCUUCACCAAGCUCAUAGACUGCUCUCUUGUUACAUUUUUCUUAUUGCAUUACACAUUUGAUUGGAUUUACACAUUUAAUAUACAGCAAUGACUCAUCACUGCUGUUGAGUAUAGGAAGCUCCAUUUCUACUCUCUUUGGGAGAUUUCUUUAUUUCCAACCUAAGCCCUUCUUAUCAGAGAGAAGAAGACAGUCUUAAGGGAACCAGGUGCCCCCUCAAACACAGGCCAUGAGAGUCAGAGGGCCACCCUCCUGCCUGGUCUCCAUGAUACAGAGAGGUGUGGUCCCUGGCACGGCACCGCAGACUCUCUUCCACCUCUAACCACACGGGGAGAAGAAUACAGACGGCUUCUCAGCACUCACCGUGAUUCUCAGCAUCAGUGGAAACACAAACCCAGGGGCAGGCAAAGAGCUAAGGCUUCUGAGAAGAGGGGUUUAGGAGCCUAUCGACUGUCUGGAGAGACGGAUUGGCCCUUCCAAAGGGUUUAUCUCUUGCUUUCCUCCUACCUUGCUUCCUUGCUUAAGAAGAGCACAGCCAAGCGCAAGGCCACUGGAAUUUUGUCACAGAGUAGGGGGUUUCCAACAACAGGAGGAGCCUUUUAACCCCUUUGUGGUUUAUUCUUGCGUACCUUGGAAUCUCCAGCACUUACCAAUUCUGGCAAAUUGUUUAAUCUUUAAGCCUACGUUUCCUGAUUUGUAAAAGAGGGUGAGGAUAGUGCCUACAUCUACAGGUUGUAGUGAAGAGUAGAUGAUGGGACUCAAGGCAAACGCUCAAGGAUUGUCAGCUGUGUUUGUAGCUUCAGAGUUUUACUGGUUACAAACAUGUGGAAAUAAAGCCUCUCACUUGCUAUCACAAAGGAAAAAUGUAUGAGACCCAGGUGCACUGCUCCCCGCCUACACUCUGACCCAUCUCUGUUCCCUUGGACAUUGGCUCGCUCUGCUCCACUGACCUCCUGGAAUUUUUUCGGACACAUCAAGCAUACGGGCAUUUACCUUUGCUGUUUCUUCUGCCUAGAAUAUUUCACUCCUGAAUAUCCUCAUGACUUGCUCCAUCACUAUUCUGAUAUUUGCUCAAAUUUAAUUUAUUGGAGAGAGACUUUGCUCUCCAAACAAUCUCAAAUGGGACCCCCACUAACUCAGCCACUGUCUCUCUUUCCUCUGUUAUUUGCCUUUUUACUACUACCUGCAUGUUACGUAUUUACUUAUUAAUAUAUUUAUUACCUAGCUCCCCUGCUAAAAUGUAAGAUCCAUGAAAGGAAGUGUUUUGUCUUUUGUUGUUGUUGUUGAUUGCAGCAUUUCUAAUAUCUAAAAUGGUACCGAAAUACAGUAAGCCUCUGCUAAAUAUCAAUUAAAUGAACGAACUAAUAAAACUUAUACAAAAUUCCCAUCUUA